rnacentral:rRNA from 1 species
GGUUAAGCGACUAAGCGUACACGGUGGAUGCCCUGGCAGUCAGAGGCGAUGAAGGGCGUGCUAAUCUGCGAUAAGCGCCGGUAAGGUGAUAUGAACCGUUAUAACCGGCGAUACCCGAAUGGGGAAACCCAGUGUGAUUCGUCACACUAUCAUUAACUGAAUCCAUAGGUUAAUGAGGCGAACCGGGGGAACUGAAACAUCUAAGUACCCCGAGGAAAAGAAAUCAACCGAGAUUCCCCCAGUAGCGGCGAGCGAACGGGGAGGAGCCCAGAGCCUGAAUCAGCAUGUGUGUUAGUGGAAGCGUCUGGAAAGGCGCGCGAUACAGGGUGACAGCCCCGUACACAAAAGCGCAUGUGCUGUGAGCUCGAUGAGUAGGGCGGGACACGUGGUAUCCUGUCUGAAUAUGGGGGGACCAUCCUCCAAGGCUAAAUACUCCUGACUGACCGAUAGUGAACCAGUACCGUGAGGGAAAGGCGAAAAAGAACCCCGGCGAGGGGAGUGAAAAAGAACCUGAAACCGUGUACGUACAAGCAGUGGGAGCACAGGUUUACCUGUGUGACUGCGUACCUUUUGUAUAAUGGGUCAGCGACUUAUAUUCUGUAGCAAGGUUAACCGAAUAGGGGAGCCGGAGGGAAACCGAGUCUUAAUUGGGCGUUAAGUUGCAGGGUAUAGACCCGAAACCCGGUGAUCUAGCCAUGGGCAGGUUGAAGGUUGGGUAACACUAACUGGAGGACCGAACCGACUAAUGUUGAAAAAAUUAGCGGAUGACCUGUGGCUGGGGGUGAAAGGCCAAUCAAACCGGGAGAUAGCUGGUUCUCCCCGAAAGCUAUUUAGGUAGCGCCUCGUGAAUUCAUCUCCGGGGGUAGAGCACUGUUUCGGCUAGGGGGCCAUCCCGGCUUACCAACCCGAUGCAAACUGCGAAUACCGGAGAAUGUUAUCACGGGAGACACACGGCGGGUGCUAACGUCCGUCGUGAAGAGGGAAACAACCCAGACCGCCAGCUAAGGUCCCAAAGUCAUGGUUAAGUGGGAAACGAUGUGGGAAGGCCCAGACAGCCAGGAUGUUGGCUUAGAAGCAGCCAUCAUUUAAAGAAAGCGUAAUAGCUCACUGGUCGAGUCGGCCUGCGCGGAAGAUGUAACGGGGCUAAACCAUGCACCGAAGCUGCGGCAGCGAACGUAUCACUUAAAGCGAUUCAGCGGGUUACGAUUGACGGAGCGAAGCGACGUCAAAGCGUAUACAAAGUCGAGUCGGUUUAAGGAUACGUUCGUUGGGUAGGGGAGCGUUCUGUAAGCCUGUGAAGGUGGCCUGUGAGGGUUGCUGGAGGUAUCAGAAGUGCGAAUGCUGACAUAAGUAACGAUAAAGCGGGUGAAAAGCCCGCUCGCCGGAAGACCAAGGGUUCCUGUCCAACGUUAAUCGGGGCAGGGUGAGUCGACCCCUAAGGCGAGGCCGAAAGGCGUAGUCGAUGGGAAACAGGUUAAUAUUCCUGUACUUGGUGUUACUGCGAAGGGGGGACGGAGAAGGCUAUGUUGGCCGGGCGACGGUUGUCCCGGUUUAAGCGUGUAGGCUGGUUUUCCAGGCAAAUCCGGAAAAUCAAGGCUGAGGCGUGAUGACGAGGCACUACGGUGCUGAAGCAACAAAUGCCCUGCUUCCAGGAAAAGCCUCUAAGCAUCAGGUAACAUCAAAUCGUACCCCAAACCGACACAGGUGGUCAGGUAGAGAAUACCAAGGCGCUUGAGAGAACUCGGGUGAAGGAACUAGGCAAAAUGGUGCCGUAACUUCGGGAGAAGGCACGCUGACACGUAGGUGAAGUGAUUUACUCACGGAGCUGAAGUCAGUCGAAGAUACCAGCUGGCUGCAACUGUUUAUUAAAAACACAGCACUGUGCAAACACGAAAGUGGACGUAUACGGUGUGACGCCUGCCCGGUGCCGGAAGGUUAAUUGAUGGGGUCAGCGCAAGCGAAGCUCCUGAUCGAAGCCCCGGUAAACGGCGGCCGUAACUAUAACGGUCCUAAGGUAGCGAAAUUCCUUGUCGGGUAAGUUCCGACCUGCACGAAUGGCGUAAUGAUGGCCAGGCUGUCUCCACCCGAGACUCAGUGAAAUUGAACUCGCUGUGAAGAUGCAGUGUACCCGCGGCAAGACGGAAAGACCCCGUGAACCUUUACUAUAGCUUGACACUGAACAUUGAGCCUUGAUGUGUAGGAUAGGUGGGAGGCUUUGAAGUGUGGACGCCAGUCUGCAUGGAGCCGACCUUGAAAUACCACCCUUUAAUGUUUGAUGUUCUAACGUGGACCCGUAAUCCGGGUUGCGGACAGUGUCUGGUGGGUAGUUUGACUGGGGCGGUCUCCUCCUAAAGAGUAACGGAGGAGCACGAAGGUUGGCUAAUCCUGGUCGGACAUCAGGAGGUUAGUGCAAUGGCAUAAGCCAGCUUGACUGCGAGCGUGACGGCGCGAGCAGGUGCGAAAGCAGGUCAUAGUGAUCCGGUGGUUCUGAAUGGAAGGGCCAUCGCUCAACGGAUAAAAGGUACUCCGGGGAUAACAGGCUGAUACCGCCCAAGAGUUCAUAUCGACGGCGGUGUUUGGCACCUCGAUGUCGGCUCAUCACAUCCUGGGGCUGAAGUAGGUCCCAAGGGUAUGGCUGUUCGCCAUUUAAAGUGGUACGCGAGCUGGGUUUAGAACGUCGUGAGACAGUUCGGUCCCUAUCUCGCCGUGGGCGCUGGAGAACUGAGGGGGGCUGCUCCUAGUACGAGAGGACCGGAGUGGACGCAUCACUGGUGUUCGGGUUGUCAUGCCAAUGGCACUGCCCGGUAGCUAAAUGCGGAAGAGAUAAGUGCUGAAAGCAUCUAAGCACGAAACUUGCCCCGAGAUGAGUUCUCCCUGAGACUUAGAGUCUCCUGAAGGAACGUUGAAGACGACGACGUUGAUAGGCCGGGUGUGUAAGCGCAGCGAUGCGUUGAGCUAACCGGUACUAAUGAACCGUGAGGCUUAACCUU